AGUGAACGCUGGCGGUAGGCCUAACACAUGCAAGUCGAACGGCAGCACAGUAAGAGCUUGCUCUUACGGGUGGCGAGUGGCGGACGGGUGAGGAAUACAUCGGAAUCUACUUUUUCGUGGGGGAUAACGUAGGGAAACUUACGCUAAUACCGCAUACGACCUACGGGUGAAAGCAGGGGAUCUUCGGACCUUGCGCGAUUGAAUGAGCCGAUGUCGGAUUAGCUAGUUGGCGGGGUAAAGGCCCACCAAGGCGACGAUCCGUAGCUGGUCUGAGAGGAUGACCGGCCACACUGGAACUGAGACAGGUCCCAGCCCCCUCGGGGGGGCACAAGUGGGGAUUAUGGGACAAUGCGCGAAAGCCUGAUCCAGCCAUCCCGGGUGGGUGAAGAAGCCCUUGGGUUUUUAAGCCCUUUUGGUUGGGAAAGAAAAGCAGCAGUUUAAUCCCCCGUUUUUCGCACGGUCCCCAAAAAAAAACCCCCGCCUAACUUCGUC
rnacentral:rRNA from 1 species